CGCUGAUCCCCACAAAGCUGCUCGGGUCGCCUCGUUACCAUACCAAAAGGCCUAGGCUGGCUCAAAGAACCCCUUUCUCUGGGUUUUAGCAACUUCACGGCGACUGUCUGGCAAUGCCCAGAACAAACGGCUCCACAAAGGCCGGCGUUGCCUCGGAAUGCAAAUGGUGCGGGCUCCGCCGAGCUGCUCGCGGUCCCGAGCCUGAUGCUGCAUUGUGCAGCUCGCGUGCAGACACCGAGAUUGACACGGGCGUCACGUGACGGAUUAGGGCUCCAGGAAAGUUUUCAAAGCGACCACAAUGGGGGGCUCAGCCUGAUCUGGUAUCUCCCACAGUUUAGCGGGAGAGAAAAUCAGGAUAUAUUCUCAUAUGUAAUAGGAUUAUCUUUUCCAUUUCAAGUUCUAUACAGCAUGUAAUUUAUUUUUAAUUAGGAUUAUAUCUACCAGGAAAAGGAACUAGACUUCGUUGAAAAGUGUAAUUCUAAAAAUGGAUGGAGAAAGGGGCUAUUUUUUAACCUUUUAACAACAACAACCAAAAGCACAGGGCCAUGUUUUUCUCUCGUUUUGUUGAAUAAACCUCGCAAGGAACUCUGCAUGCAGCUAAUGCUUGGCCAAGCAAAGAACAGAGGCAGAUCUUUAGGAACGUUCAAUUUGUUCUUGUAGAGAAACCACAUUUUGCAAAAAUCACAGACUUCCUAAAUCUCUAGAUUUUGCUAGCGUUGGUACUCUAGAAAUGCAACGAAGCUCUUUCCUACUUUUCAAAUAUUUGGUUAAAAAAAGUUUUACGUUGUGUGUGUGUGUGUGUGUGUGUGUGUACUGGGGUGUCAAUACCCACAUUGUGCCUUUUAAACUUUAUACUAAACCACAGAACAGCAUUCUCCAUAAGCCUGAUUCAAAUUCAGCAGUCAGACAAUGAGACAAAUUGGAGGUGAAGGUAAUUAUUGUUCAAACAUUGAUUUUGGAUUGUUCCCACAUGUUAGAUGUUCACAAACCCUGGACUUUUCCCAGGUCUUAGUGGAUAAAGUAAUUUUUAAUUUUCACUUUUUGCUUUUUGAGACAAGGUCUCUUUGUGAUUCAGGCUGGCCUUGAACUGACUUUGUAGCCCAAGAUGGCCCCUGCCUCAGCCUCUCUAGUGCUGCAUUUACAACGUGACCAAACAGCAUUUUGUGUGUUCCUUAUGCCAGAAGACACUGAAGGGGCUUAUUUCACCUGAUAAGAAGCAGGGGUUGUUGACUGCGGGCUUCCAACUCUUCUGUUUGAAUUCAAAUAUUAUCAUCAUCAAUCCUCUCUAAUUACUUGUUCCCUUUGUAUAUUAAUUCCCAAAUCAGCAAAAAAAAAAAAAAAAAAAAAAAAAAGGGAGGGGGUGUGGUAAUAAUAGUACCUGUUAAGGUUGUUUUGAGUAGUGUGUAAGAUGAUAUAGUACCAGAUGCUAAGGAAUAUGUUAGUUAUUUAAGUUUAAAAGCGUAAGAACAAACAUCAGGCACUAUGUAAUCUAAACCUCUUAUUAUAGGUGAGGGGUUUGUUUAGGACUAAACCAUCUCUCUCAAAAAAACCCAAUCCAAACCAAAUCAACCAAAAAACAAAACAACAACAAAAACUCCAACUCUCCUAAUUUUUGGUCUGUUUCUUUGCUUCUGAUUUUGUGUUCCCAUUUUCUAGAGAGAGUAGAUAUAAUGUUAGGUAGGUAGUUCCUAAAGGAAGGAGAAGAUUUUCAUGGGAGUCUUCAAGUAACCUCAUUGCCCUACGGUUGUUUCAAAAUAUUUUCAUGCACUGUUCUCUAGUUGUGAUCAGAGAUGAUCACUAAAAGGAGCUUUCAUUUUUCCUUACCUAUUUCGAUGAAAGCCUAAUAUCAUGCCUAAAAUCACCUAGACAGAUAGUUCUGAUGGACAGCAACCCACAGUUCUGGAGGACCAGGGGUAUUCCAAAGGAGUUUUUUCUGUAGGCUAUUAUAUUAGUUAGUGUUCCCAUUGCUGGGUCAAAAUACCCAACACUCGUAAAUUAAAGGAGAAGUUUAAUGUGGUUCGUAGUUUCAGGGGCUUCAGUCCAUGGCUGGCUGGCUGUAAGGCAGAAACAUCAUUUAGGAAAGGCAUAACAGAGCAAGAAUGCUUAGUUUAUUUUUCUCUGGUGGGAGGAACAGUGACAGAACUGGGAGACACUAUAUGUAACGCACAAGGCCACAACUCUAUAACCUACCUCGGAGUGUGCUUUACUAACUUUUCUUUGUGUUUCUCAAUCCAAUUCAGUUGCUGUAUCAAGAUGAAUGGCCACAGACACCCAGGAGCAUCAGGCGACUUCCAAAAACUUAUACUGAACAGUGUGCAACCAACACUGAGCCCUGUGCUUCCGCUCUGUCAGUCCACUAGAGCUGUCCCUGAAAAGUUUAAACAGCAGGAUCCUCUGCGGGCAGGAAGUGUGAGAUCUUCCCUGAGGAAAUGAGAAAAGAAUUCUGUGGCAAAAAGAAUGGCAAUUACAGGAAAUACUGGUGAACAUCCGUUAGUGUUCCAGUGACCAGUGACUGACAAGUACUCAGAAUAGAGAACUGCCUCGUUGUGCUCCUGGCCCUCAGGGGUCUUUCUUGGACUCCCUAUCUGUCCUAUUAUUGGCUCAUGCUCUCAAAAAAGUCUUACCUGGACAUGGCACUUAUUGAGAGCACAAGUGCCUAUCUGUAUGGGAUUCUUAGUUCUCAACAUCUCAUAUCCAUGACUCAAGCAUUUCAGUCUCCUGGAGCACUGCGGUUACAGGACUGUGCCACCAAAGAAGGGCAACUUUAUAAAGUGCUUGGUUCAAUGUGCCACUACUUCAAUGGCUGGCACUUAGUAGGUGAUUUCCAAAGGCCAAUCAGUGUCAAGGGCACGCUUCCCGAUGGCUUCUAUUUGGAUUCUGCAGCAAGAAGGGGCCCAGGGUGUCCCUCAGACACAGCUGGCACAGGUAGCGGCACAGCAUCACUGCCUGCGUGGACCUGCUGCCCAGACUGAGGUCCUCACACAACAAAAAGGCAUCUGCACUCAUAUUAUGUAUCUGCGGGGAGGACCAAGAGUUGCUGUGGGAAUCUCUCGAAGAAGACUAGGCAAUCGUUCCCAGGUAACAGACCCACCCAAAUCAAGCCUGAUUUUUAUCAGGUUUCAUCAGACCAUUUCUGACCUGGUUGAUUUCACAGAUCUUAUCUGAGCCUUUUGCUUAAAAUACGGGUGGUGUGACAACGGUAACAGAGUCUGUGUUGAAGUAAGUGGUCAAUACGUGUUAGUCAAUAUUACUGCUGUAGGGCAGGGAUGGACAACUGGGCAGCCUGAGGGCCAGCACCCAGUGGCUCAUACCUCUCUUUGGCUUGUUUCCAGAGUUCCAAAACCAGAGGCCGUUAGGACAGAAUGUGCUGUUGGUUCUUGCCUCAUCUCAGGCCUGGUUCAUAGUCACUAGCUCCCUGCCUGGUACCUCACAUGCUGAGUUUGCAGCCCCUCUUCUGUCCUGGUCCUGACAAGUGCAUCAGGCAGCAGUGACAGACAUGGCUGGGAGGUGCAGAGAGGUGUUCGUGUAUGUGCAUGUUCUGUCUCUUGCUCUGGGUUAGACUCCCACCAGGCUUAGGCCACAAGAAUGCGGACCCACCCUUGAAAAGAUCUGUCUCCUUGGUAUCAGUGGUGCUCCUCUCCACCUCCUACUUACUUGGAUAAGUUGCCUUGCAACGCCAAUGUGUCCACAAAUUGCUGAGAGUCUUGAGAAAGCAUAGAUUCUGGCUCAGUAGAUCUGGGGUGGAACCUAAUGUUCUGCAUGUCUAACCAGCCCCUGUGGUGCUGAUGCUCCAGGAUUUCAGGAACAAUGGAACCUUGGGGAAAAGUAUUUCUGUUGGAGCCUGAGCAGUCUGAAGACUUCCAGUCAGUGGCAAGCCAUUGUUUCUCUCCCCCAUGAACUCUCCGGUAUCUGGGAAUGAAUGGCCAACAGGAAAACAUUCCUCUCUGCAGAGAAAUAUUUUAGAUUGAUGCAAUCUCAGAGGAUUUCUUAGUUUUCUGCCUUUCAUUCAUUUUGCACUGGUAAACUUUCUGUGGACCAUAUUUUAGACAUCUUUUUAUUUUUUAUUGUGUAGGAACUUACUGCUUACAGUGGUUAGCAGAGUAUAGUUCUUGGACCAGCAGCAUCAGCAUCACUGUGAAUUUGUUAGAAUUAUAAAUGUUUGGGCCUUGUUCCAGACCUACUGAGUCAGGAACUGGGAGUAGAGCCUGGCCCUCUCAGUACGGAGCCUUUCAGGUAAUUCCCAUGCAUACUGCAGCUUGAGAAUGGCUGUCCUAAGAUCCAAAUUCGUUAGAUGAAUUUCCAAAGAAGGCCCCCAGAUCUGGAGGCUUUUGGGGAUCUGCGCAAGUUUCUGAAGCUUGUUACUCAGUAGAUAAUUUCACAACUGGGAGUCAGGGAGAUGAUGCCAGGAAGGAGGUUUGAAGGAUGGCAGCUUCAGGUGAGGAAAAGCAGGAGCAAAUGAUCUACCCCCUGGGGAUAAUUCUUUGGCUUUAUGCAAAUGUUCUAAGCAAUAAAACCAGCCAGUGAUGUACAGGAAAUAUAUGCUCCCCAUGCUGAGUGGUCUAAAUGGAGUGUUACCAGUGAUUGGGUUUCCGAGACCCUAUUACACAAGGCCUUAAUGGCAUGAAAUACACCACACCUGCUAAAUGAAACACACACAAGGACAUUAUAGGCGUUUUCAAAAGCAUUUUAUUUUGCAUAAUAUAGAUUUUUUUUUCUAGAACAGAAAUGGUAUAUUAAAAAGUCAGCAGGCAUAGAGCUUGUUUUAAAAUUAUUAUUACUUUACUCUGGUGCUGCAGACUUUUAUUUUCUCCUUCCUGCUGCUAUUGCACAGAAAUGUAGAAUAUUCUAUUCAGAAGAAACCCUAGAGAUCAGCGACUCUAUUGCUGCAAUUUACACUGGUGUCUGGAGACGUCAGUUUACUUGCCUUGAGCAGAGGGAACUGGGGCUGAUAUCUGCACUCCUGAUUCUCAGACUCAGUGAUUUUUUCCCCCCAGGAAUCUCAGGCCAGGAAAGUAGUCUUGUGCAUUUUCUUGUGAAUGUCAGAUAGCAUUAGAGGUACAGGGAAGGGAGGUGCAUGCAUAUUAUUUACACAUGCGCACAACCUGGUGUUAGCAGCCAGGGUAUGCUUCUGAAACUGUAGACAGAAGCAUCUUCCAUUUAGAAAAUGGCUCAGGCUAAUAAUUUGGUUUCUAGGAAACUCUGCUGAAGUUCAUGUGUCAAUCACAUGCUUCCAGUGGUAGGGAACUCAGGGCUCUGACAUGAGUGGUUGCCCAGCACCUUCUCUUCCAGGGACGCUGCAUCUGCUUUCUUAUUACUCCCCUUGAUGUCUUAAUAAAUUUUUGAAAAAGGAUUGCACAUUCAUUUUGGACUGGGCUCAACCAAUCAGGUGCCUAUUCCUUCCCCAAAACUUAGAUAUUCUUCCCCAUGUGUGCUUUUGAGCACAGCUUACCCGAGAAUCCUUUAACUUUUUCCUAAAGUGAGUCGUAUGUAGAUUGGGUAUGUACUCCAAAAUCGAAAUGAUUAGGAUUGUGGAAUAGUUACACAAGCAUACUGAGAUAUUUUAGGAAGGGGGUUAGGUCUCAACAUGAAAUUACUUUACAUCUCAUAUAUAUCUUAUACACAGAAACUGUGGGAAAUUUUAUAGCAUGGUGUCAGGAGUUUUAAUACAUGAAAUAGUGGGUGUUGAGCUGUCAGGUGUUUGUCUCAGUCACAGGGACUUACUGUCUGUGUGCGCCUGUCAUUUCCAUACUCUGGAAGGCUGAGGCAGCACAAUCAAAAGUUCAAGUCCAUAGUAGGCAACUUAGUGAUUUAAGGAGACUAUCUCAAAAAAAAAAAAAAAAAAAAAAAAGUGGAGCAGGCAUAUAAUUUAGCGUAAAGGCCCUUGAUUCAACUCCUAGUAUUGAGGGGUUAAAAAGAAAAUGAUUACAAAUCCAUCAUAUAGAUACAGAAAGAUUUUGCAUUUUGGAGCAUUUUGCAUUUUCAUAUUAAGGAUGCUUAACCUGUGUUAUAAUAUUAAUAUUGUAUUAUUAAUAAUGUUAAUUCCUAUUGCAUUGCUUUUUCUUAGGCUAACACUCAGGUAGGUCGCAUAAUUGUCAUCAUACAAGAAGAGAAGGCUGAGGGUCAGAGACAUUUACUGCUUCAAAGGCCUUUAGACAGGAGGCAGAGCUGGACCCAGGUCUGUUUUCAGAGGACAGAGACUUAACCAUUACACUGUGUGCCUCAUGGGGUGUCUCCUCAAUGCUUGUCACCUGUGUUUCCUUGUUUCUCUUUGUCUGUAGAGGAGAGGUGUGUCUUUUACAGAGGGAACUGUGUUCUUUAAUUAUUUCUGCUCAGUGCCAUGCCUAGCACAGACAGGGAGCUUAAUGAAUAUUUAUUUAAUAAGGGUAUUUGGUGGAAUUUAAUGUGCAUGUAGCCACAUAAGAACUCCUGCAGACCAAAGAAACUUCCAGGUUUAUGUUUAAAUUUUUUUCCUGUGAAUGAAACUGCACUGUAUGGUUGGUGAAAGUAUUUGCAGUACUUUAUAUUUGACUUCAUGAAUUAUUUAUGGAAUUAACACCAGAAUCAUGAUUAAUUUGUGGAGGAAAGAAGCUGCUGCAUGGCGUGGGGCAUGUUUUCCUCACAGGAAUGAGUCACCAUUCCAGAGCCUUCGGGGUGAAGACUUGGGGUGUUAGUUUCCAGGCGUAACAGGCACUUGAUCUCCCCUUUUGCUUCUCUUUCUCCUAACUGAAAAACCCAGGAACCACCAGUUAGUUCCAGACCAGGGGCAAAUGCCCACUGCCUUUCAGCAAUGAGUCAACACAGCUUUCCUUAAUUUUUGGUUGACGUGCGUGUUAGACACCUGUUGUGUCCUGAGUGAUAUGCGUGCUUCUGUUCUUAAUGAGAUGCAGCGUGGUAACGAUAGUCAGGCAGGGCAACACGAUUGUUACAUUAUCAGGUGAUUGGGGGCCAGGCACACACGUCCUCUAGUGAUGUGGGCAGCAGUGUGAGGACAUUCUUGGGGACAAGGGCUCUUACUUGAACCAAGUACUAAAAGGUAGAAAGCAAUCAUUUAGCUAGAGAUAGAUAGGGAAGAGUAGAGGUAUGUGCUUUCCAGUGGUGUAACCCUGAAACCCUAAAAAGACCAGGGAAAAGACCCGAGAAGAGGGGAAGCCAUUGGAGCUGAGGAGGGGCCCCAAAGGACUGAGACAAGGUGGGAAGGGGAUGCUGGUAUUGCCUAAGGUUUGAGUUUUGUCCUUGAGGCUGGGGUGGCAGAUGGAGUCAACAUUGUAGACCGCCAGCAUGGCUCCUGUUCCAUCAUUAGGCUGGCUCUGCAGAGAGCAAGAUCUUUUCUGUGUAAAGGUGCACAGUGGCUUUUUGGGCUUAUGGGUCCCCCAUAAAAGGAAGAGAAAGGCGAGGAAGAGGUGCUGGUUGCCCAAAGUGGGGAGAGUUGGGAGGAGGUGCUAUUGAGUGAGGACACAACCAUGCUCCAUCAGCAAGUUUGCUUUCUGAGACCCACAGUGUAAUUGCAAUCUCUUUCCCAUUUUCUUCAAACAUCAUGAGGAAAUAUAACUGCAGCUGGGUUCAGCAGCCCUCGCUUUGGAGCAAUAAACUACAAAUGAUCACAGUUUACUUUGAUGCUGUUGGAAUUCCCCCUUGCUGGUCGCCGUGGAUUCUUGCCGUUUACGGGCUGCAGAGUCGCCUGUGUGCCCUUGCUCUGCUUUUGGAAUGAGCCUUCGCCUCUCCGAGCUUGUCCUAGCGUGUUAUUUAUUGUGCUGCUCUUUUGUAGACUUGAGCAGCGCUCCAGGCCAUGGAGCGGCUGUGACCAUACUUAGGGGUCUAACCCCGCUGCCCCAGCCUUUACGGGAGAAGCUUGUUCUUGACUCCAUUUACUUACAAGUAGAAAAGAAUCAGAGAGCCCUGCAGCGUGAAGGUGGAGGCAAGGUACUCCAGAUAAGUGUUUUCCCCGCUCUGUAUUACUUAUUUAUUAAAGUCAGUGAGGCAUAACUAAGAGAAAGGAAAGGAACCGAGGAAAUAGAGAAUACAAUGGCCCCUCAGAUUUUAAUGGGAGAGAUGGCUAGAAGUGAUUCCUAAAUUAUUAAAUAAAUCGAUUCGAUUCUUGAAGCUGGCCUCCAAGGUGUGUUUGUCAGUUUCAUUAUCAUUGUCUUCAAGGGUAGAAAGAAUCACUCAUGAAGAAAGUUUUAUUUUUUCCCCUCUGAUUUAUGUUGCAAUUCAUGGCCCCUGCCUGAUUAAACACACUUCUUCUGUAAUGGGAGCUGUGUUCUUUUGUUUCCUUUCCAUUUCGAUUCCAUUCAUUUUAUAUAGGCUCACAGACAUGUAACAGGAUCUGGCCAGCUGUAGGGGAGACAGACUUUGGACAAUCUUGAUCCCUUUUCUGUUACAGAACUGUUUGGUCACAGACGAAUUCAUUCUACCAUAAUUUGGCCACACGCAUAAGUCAUUUAGUUACUUGCCAACAGAAUCCAGUGACUACCAGAAUAAUGUGUUGUGUCAUCCCAGAUCACAAGAAUAACACCUGAAUGCCUUUUAAAGACAACAGAUUUUAUUUUGGGGUUUUGGGGGUGACUGCAGUGAUGUUUACUCCUUUCUCAUUUCCUUCACUCCCGUGAAACACCUCGACUGCCUCCAACACAAUGGUAAAAAAAAAAAAGGCUGAACAUCUAAAUUCUUUUUUUAAUUAUUCUCCUGAGGAAAGCAGGCCAACCACCGGGGUGCAAAAAAUUUAAACCAUAAAUAACAAGUCGAAAGGAAAUAAAAGAAAUGACACCAGAAUAAACUAAGCUAUUAGCUGAAAGCUUUACAUCACCAUCCUCCUCCUUGGGCCUGAAAAAAUCUCAGGAAGGUGGUUAUUUUCCAAAGAAUGUCAUUAGAGUCUGCAGCAAUUAAAAAUAGAUGCAGGGAACAUUGCCCCAUGAUUUCUGGACGUACUUGGGGCACUGAAACAUGAAAUAUUUUGGGGAACAUAGUUCCUCACUCCUGCCCUGAGGGCAUGCAGUGCUAAAGGACUGGGCCAGUCCUCUGAGGGUCCUGCUGCUGCUCAGGUGUGGGAAGAAGGAUAGAGACAGGAUAAAGGAAGUGAGCAAAGUACUGGACAGUGAUGAGUGAUUUCCAAGAUAGAAGAGGCCUUUCUCUGGUUCUGCUGCGUAUAAUUGUUUCUGUCAAGUCAGUAUACCUGGUAAAAACCUCCAUUCACACCUACAAACCUGCUAGGUUUCCAAUUACUGGUUUGAUUUUCAGUUCCUCAGAUGGGAAGCAUUUGUGUAUUUUGCCAACAUGGAACAGUAAAGUUAGGUGCAGAGGUGCUCCCGGGUACCCGGGACUGGAGGAGGCACCAAGUUCCCAGAGACAGCCUGGCUGCCCUGUGGCUGACAAGGGAAUCACAUACCCGUCACCCAGAGGCCGGGGGAGUGCUUGGGAUGGUCUGCCCUGUGCUCUGCCAGGGGAGUGCGUUUUGUUUUGGUGGCAAGGACCGAGCAGCAAUCUGGCCUUUUGUGUCUGCCAACGUGGCAGUUUGAGACAGAAGAACAGUGGGAGAGCAUCAGAAAGCUUUGCUCUUCUAAACCCAGCUUAACGAGAGUUGAUUGGGAAAAGGAAGGUGCAGGAAAGUGUGCAUAACAUGUCUGUCUGUAGAAUGAGCCAACACAAGCUGCUCAGACUAUAUAGGUGUGUUUAAAGGGCUGGGCUGGACUGCAUAGGUCCCGAGGAACACAUAGGACACACUCUGAGUUCUUAAAAUGAGUUUCAGGAGUGGGGCUGUGAAAAUGGGUGAAGAUGCUGAUGUGAGAUGGGGUAAAGUACCAUGACAACAGCAUUUAUCUGAUCACUCUAUUUAUACAAAACGUAUAUUUUUACGCACAUUAAAAUUUAACAGUUCCACUGUGCUCAUCUUUCCUCCAAAAGUGUCUCUGAAAAAUUGUCUUGGUGUCAGGUACCAAACGCUCAGUUUUAUGUGGGCUCUUUUUCUGUAGUAUUUAAGGUCACUGCUCUGCAGCUUUUCUUUAUGGCAUAAAGCUGAGAAAGAGCAGAAUACUUCACCACGGGGAAAAGCCAUUAUUAACCGCCCUUCUUUUCCCUCCUGCCUGUCCCAUCAAGUGGACGCUGGUGCAAGAGAGAGUUUUCUCAAAACAGCCUGGCUCUUCCGUGAUGGACGUGGUGCCCUUUGGGCAGACAGAGUUAUAGUGAGGAGACCUCAAGAGACCCGAACUGACAUUGCCUGGGCUGCCAGAGCCCUGGAGCAGCUGGAAUGGUCAGUUCUCUCUCAUUGCUCUGCAGGGAAGGACAGAUAUUGUGAAAAACAUGUGAGAUUUGAAGAUGGAAAUGUCAGGGCAGUGGUUUCCAGCUCAGUGUAAAAAAGAGCUUUUUAAACACCAGAGCUAAUAACUGUCUGAGUCAUCUCUCGGGAGAUGGGGGUGGAUUGGGGGGACUCCCAGCUGUAGGUUCAGAGUAAAAGAGGUCUGUGGGCACUGCUCCGCACCGUCCCACUAGGCAGCUUAGUCAUGCGCCAAGCAGUGUGGUUGGGAAGGUGGCUGGGUCAACUGAAGAACUGAAUUUUUAACUGUAAUUAAAAUUUAAAAUAAAAACUGAAGCAGUACAAAAUUUUUUCCCACUAACUGUGCUUCGUUUUGAUAGGAUUGCAUUUCACUGAAUAAUUGAAAAUUUAGCAGCCAGAUAAGAGAUGUGUGAAAAAAUGAGAGUUUGAGGAUUUAGAUGAAAAAGUUAAAAUAUUUCAGCAACUUUUUAUAUUAACUGCCCGGUGACAUGUUGCAAAUGUUGGGUUAAAGUACAUUGUUGAAAUCAGUGUCAGUUUUAGAAAGUGUGGCUACUCUAAAAAAAUUACCCGUGUGGUUCAGAAGGGCACGCGUGACUCCUGGACUCCCAUGAGUCUGUGCUGAUGUGGGCAGCUGGCAAUUGUCCAGCUACAAUUCUUGGAUGUGGAUUCUGGUUUCUCCUCCUUAGAAAGAUGCUCCAGGAGCACGUGUGGCUUCUGUGCUGGCCAGCGAGGACAGUUAUUAUUGGUGGUGACUGUGGGAAUCCUGUGACAAGUGCCCAGACUUCAGAGAAACGACUGCAGCAAUUAUAUCUGGAGCCCUGGGAAAUUCUGACUGAAGAAUUCUGAUGUCUAUGAUUAUACCCUGCACGAGGGAUGUGGAGGUGCGUAGCUGUCAUGCUAAGGGGACAGAGAGAUAUGCAGGAGGUGAUUAUUAUGGUACUCUGCCAACUGAUGAGCAGCAAGCAAUAUUUUGUGAGAGCUUCAUAUUUAUUGUGUAGUGACUCUUCACUAGCAGGAAUGUUGUCUUGUAGGAAACAGUUAACAGGGUCUACAGACGUUCUGAAUUGUGGUGAACAGGGGAUGCAGCAGCCAACCUCUAGUGCGGACGGUGCCCCACGGCUUAUGAGCUCAGCCUGUGUGUGUGGUUGCAGUUCCUGAAACCCAGAUGAGCCAUCUCCCAGGCAGUCGAAACAGUGGAGCAGCCAUGAAACUGGGAAGAAAAGCAAAAGCUGGAAGCUGCCUGUCCACGAGGGCAGGACUUUGUUUCUGUUUGUGCACCAGUGUUCCUCUCCAUCCAGAAGAGCACCUGGCUCAGGGACCGAGAUCCAAUGAAGAGGGUCCUGGGGCCCCAGGUGAUGGCACUCUACCCUGCCCAGAGGCUGAGGAGAGAGAUCAUGAGAGGGUGUAGACGGGACCAGCUGGAGGUCAGCAGCAGGGUCCUUUGGUCCUCUGCUCUGGAGCUGUGCUCAGUGUCAAAGGGACUGCACUGGAGCGUCUUCAUCAUGACUUCCUGCCUGUUGUGGGAUUUCCGGCUAGCUUCAUCCAAAGACAUUAGCCCUACUGGCCAGCUGCCAGCCCUGGGGCUCCCUCCAAGGACUGAUUAUUGGACCUCAAAUCAAGCACCUGCAACCUCAUAGUGUGGCAAAGGCUCCUCUUGAGUGUUCAUAUUUGAUCUGAUGUUUCUGAAAUUGUGUGUAUUCUGGAUUCACUAAUGAGAAAGACAUCAAAAACCCUUG